UACGUAGGGGGCAAGCGUUGUCCGGAAUCAUUGGGCGUAAGGCGCGUGUAGGCGGCCAGGUAAGUCCGUUCUGAAAGCCCGGGGCUCAACCCCGGGAGGCGGAUGGAUACUGCUUGGCUCGAGUCCGGAAGAGGCGAGUGGAAUUCCCGGUGUAGCGGUGAAAUGCGCAGAUAUCGGGAGGAACACCAAUGGCGAAGGCAGCUCGCUGGGACGGUACUGACGCUGAGACGCGAAAGCGUGGGGAGCGAACAGG
rnacentral:rRNA from 1 species